rnacentral:lncRNA from 1 species
UGGUGCUUCAAAAAUAGACGUGAGAUUUUAAAAAUAGUUUCUUCCAGCUACGGGAAUGUAGGCUCCAGUUAAGCAGACUGACAUCUGGCGAAUUAAGUUGCCAUGGUAACAGGUUUUCAGGUCAAGCCUGGAGACUGGGUCAGCCCUCCCCUCUGUCAUGGGAACAGUCUUCCAGGGGGGUCAGUGAAAAGAACAUCUUUGACAACACACACUUUCAGUCAAGCCACCAGUGCCCUAAGGUCUCUACCUUUUGUCAUCUUCAUAUAAAAGCUCUAAGAAAGAAUUCCUUAAAAAAGAAGCCCUCAGGUGUUCACUUCCUGUGAUAUGUGAUCAUAGCUAGCUUCUACAAAUGGCAGGGGCAAAUUUUCCUAAAAAUCUUAACUUUUGUAUUCCAGCAUAAAUACUUCUAAUUUCUCCUCUGCAGGAGCCACUAUGUGGAGAAGAACCUUUAAAAUCAAUAGCAGAAGUUGCUGGCAGUGGUUAUCUCAGGAGGAUGGGACGCAGAGAUUUUCACUUUCCGUGUCAUGUAUCUCUGUGACAUUUACAUUUUAUUAAGCAGAUAUUUCUUUUUUGCUCGAGGAAAGAAAAACAAGCUCAAAUUUUAAGAAUUUGAAAAUAUAUAAAUCAGAAGAAGCAGACAUUACUUUUACAUAGAAUGGUAAAGUUUUAGGGUUUCUUUAAAAGUCAGUUGAAGGGAGGCCGGGUGCAGUGGCUCAUGACUGUAAUCCCAGCACUUUGGGAGGCCAAGGCAGGUGGAUCACUUGAGGUCAGGAGUUCAAGACCAGCCUGGGCAACAUGGCAAAACCCUGUCUCUACUAAAAAUUAAAAAAUUAGCCAGGCAUGGUGGCACAUGCCUGUAAUACCAGCUACUCAGGUGGCUGAGCACAAGAAUUGUUUGAACCGGGGAGGUGGAGGUUGCAAUGAGCCAAGAUUACUCCACUGCGUUCCAGCCUGGGCGACAGACUGAGAUUCCACUUCAAAAAAAAGAAAGAAAGAAAGAAAGUUAAUUGAAGGGAAAAAAAGCAAAUUCUGGGCCAGAUGUCCUGCUUAUGUCAUUAAGGCUCCCAAGAAAAAUAAAUUGAUUGGAAAAUGAAGGGGUUGGAAGUUAUGGGCCAAGUACAGUAUCUUUAUGAGUGCUUCUUAUUAAUUAUAUGAAAUCUGGGACUUGCGACACUUGAGUCAUUUUUUUUUAAAGCACAUGCACUAGAGAAAGAGAAUUCUGGUCUUGCAUCAGAAAAUAUUAAGAUGUACUUAUUUUUUUAAUUUUUUUUUUUUUGAGAUGGAGUCUUGCUCUGUUGCCCAGGCUGGAGUGCAGUGGCGCGAUCUUGGCUCACUGCAACCUCGGCCUCCUGGAUUCGAGCGAUUCUUCUGCCUCAGCCUCCCAAGUAGAUGGGACUACAGGCACGUGCCACCAUGCCUGGCUAAUUUUUUGUAUUUUUAGUAGAGAUGGGGUUUCACCAUGUUAGCCAGGAUGGUCUGGAUCUCCUGACCUCAAGAUCCGCCCGCCUCAGCCUCCCAAAGUGCUGGGAUUACAGGCGUGAGCCACCGCGCCCAGCAAGAUGUACUUAUUGAGAGAGGCUGUGACCAGAAAACAUC